AACGCACCUUGCGCUCCUUGGUAUUCCUCGGAGCAUGCCUGUUUGAGUAUCAUGAAAUCCUCAAAAUAAAUCUUUUGUUCAUUCGAUUGAUUUUAUUUUGGACUUGGGGGUCUGCAGAUUCACGUCUGCUCCUCUUAAAUUCAUUAGCUGGAUCUCGAUGAGCUCGGUUCCACUCGGCGUGAUAAGUAUCACUCGCUGAGGACACUGUAAAAGGUGGCCGGGAUUGUUAAAGAACUGCUUCUAAUAGUCUAUUAGCUUAGACAAUUUUAUUUAUGAUCUGAUCUCAAAUCAGGUAGGACUACCCGCUGAACUUAA
rnacentral:misc_RNA from 1 species